rnacentral:rRNA from 1 species
UCUCUAUUUAGCUGCCUCGUCCGAUUACUCAAACCAUAAUUUUCUUCACAGUAAACUGCGAAUGGCUCAUUAAAACAGUUAUAGUUUAUUUGAUACAUUAAAUGGAUAACUGUAGAAAAACUAGAGCUAAUACAUGCCGAGACCACAAGGUUGUAUUUAUUAGAUAUUGUAAUUAAGAUGAAUCAUAAUAACUUCACAAUUCUUCGAUAUCAUCGAGAUAAAUCAUCCAAGUUACUGCCCUAUCAGCUUUCGAUGGUAGUGUAUUGGACUACCUCGGCAUCUACAUGGUUAACAGGGAAUUAGGGUUCGUUUUUGUAGAAGGAGCCUGAGAAACGGCUCCUACAUCUAUUGAUCGCAGCAGGCGCGUAAAUUACCCAAUCCUGACUCAGGGAGGUGGUGACAAGAUAUAACGACCCGAUUAAUGUCGUGAUUGUAGUGAGGAUAUUCCAAACAGAAUCACAAGAACGAUUAGAGGGCAAGUCUGGUGCCAGCAGCCGCGGUAAUUCCAGCUCUAUAGCGUAUAUAAAGUUGCUGCAGUUAAAAGCUCGUAGUGGAUUCAGGAUACUCAUUCUAUGGAUGUGUACCUACUAGCAGUAUGCUGUACUGUGAGAAUAGAGUGUAGCAGCCAUGCAGAUCUAGCAUGAUACGAUGAUCUGAUCUGGUAUUUGAUCGAUAAGACGUGGGCUAGUUAUGCAGGAUUGGUGACCUGGAGUGGAGUUCUCAAAUGGACCCAGCUCAUCUAGGGGGGACUACUCUCUCUU